GACACAUUUGAACAUCGACAUUUCGAACGCACAUUGCGGUCCGUGGAGAAACAUCCAGGACCACUCCUGUCUGAGGGCCG
rnacentral:rRNA from 1 species